UGCGUCAGCAGCUGCGCGCAGGUUGGGGACUACAGAGAGCAGUUCGCGUGGGUGCUGUCACGCACGCAGGAGCUCGACGCUGACACGCUCACGACCGUGCUCGGAGUGUUCGAGUCUAACGGCAUCGACACGUCGGUGCUGCAGCCUACGCCGCAAGGGGGCGAUUGCGUCUACGCGCCAGUUCCUCCCAAGAUAUAAACGAUGGAAAUACGGCAUAAAAUUCCAUGUUUAAUCAAUAUUGCAUAGGGAUUGAACUCAUUGAAGGAAAAUAUAUGUAACUAUAAUAUGAAUCUGUGUCAAGUAAAUUGAGGAAAUUCGCAUGCAUUUUAAUUCUCACGAUGAGUUGCCUGUUAGCUACUGGUAUAAACUAAGCUCAACAUAUUUCACCGAUCGUAAAUGUACUAUAGCGGAUCGGUUAGUUUGAAACCACUACAAUUUAAGAACUUAAAAACGGGGAUUAUAGCACGAAUUUGCCGAGAAUAACAUUCAAAGUAUAUUUUGUAAAGUAUGGAGGUUGCACCCCAAACAUUGGCGAACCAGGCAGUUGCGAUACUACGGAUAACUGAAUCGAAGAAGAAACAAAAUGUCAAUCUAUAAGUAGCUCGGAUGGUUUGCGAAAAAUAUAAAUAUUCUAGAAAGUCAAUAAAACUGAUAACAAA
rnacentral:lncRNA from 1 species